GGAAAAUAACAGCAACUGGAAUUAUAGUCAAAGAGUGGGGUAAUGGAGAUAUUUUCAGUGGGGAAAAAUGAUUCUGAUUGUAUUCACGGAACGAAUGAAAGGCAGAGAAACCCAGAACAUCAAUGAACUAAAGCGUAUGGCUUGAGUAGUAUGCUGCAGUCCAUCUGUCGGCCCUGUGAACUGUACCUAUGGCGCCCCCUGGAGUUUUAUCAAUACUCUACAGUGACAGCUCCACACAAGCAGACUGAAAUGUGGACAGAGAGAACAAGGAAGAAAGAAGAGAAAAAAGAAGAGUAUGACAUGAAAGCAGCGAAGAUAUCCGUGACCAUACCAAUAGUAUGUGGCUGAGUUUUACUUUUGACUUGAAAACUAAAGGAUCUUUUGGAUGACAUGGUGAAUUCACGCUGCUGGUUCCUUCUUCAUACUCAACGCAGGAGACACUAGAGUGGGAAGAGAAGAGGGGAUUUCUGAGGCAACUGAAACUCAUCAAGAAACCCCUGGGAGACGGAAAGCAGUCUAGAUGAAGGGGGACCAUGUCAUGGUUUGCAGCAGGCUGGGGACAGCUUCCGGGAGAGGUCCUUCCUUCUGUUCACUCUAUUUCCUGGGAAAUAAAGAUAUUUCCUC
rnacentral:lncRNA from 1 species